AGCAGUGUGGCAUAGUGAUAAGAGCAUGGGCCUGGGAGCCAGAAGACCUGGGUUCUAAUCCCGGCUCUGUCA
rnacentral:tRNA from 1 species